GACGAACGCUGGCGGCGUGCUUAACACAUGCAAGUCGAACGGAAAGGCCCCUUUGUUGGUACUCGCGCGGCUAACGGGUGAGUAACACGUGCGUAACCUGCCCUUGCCUUCGGGAUAACUUCAGUAAAGUGAGGCUAAUACCGACUAGGAAUCCUUUCUGCCUGCUUGGGGUUUUAAAGCUUCGGCUGUUUUGGGUGGACUCGCGGCUUAUCUGCUUGUUGGUGGGGUAGUGGAUUACCAAGGCUUUGUAGGGUAGCCGGCCUGACAGGGCGACCGGCCACAUUGGGACAGGGGUACGGGCCAGACUCCAACGGGAGGCAAGAGGGGGGGAUAGUGCAAAAAGGGCGGAAGGAUGGAGGAAGAACGCCGGGUGGGGGAUGACGGGCUUUGGGUUGUAAACCGCUUUCAGCAGGGGAGGAGGUUGUGGUGACGGUACCUGCAGAAGAAGCACCGGCUAACUACGUG
rnacentral:rRNA from 1 species